CUGGGACCUCGGGUGCACUGUGACGCUCCGAGGGGACGCGGGGACCUCAGGAUCCCCGGCGCUGAAGGCAGCUCGGGCCCUCCGGGACUCUGGGGACGCCCGGCUCCGUCACCGGAGCGCAACAGGGGAUCCACGCGCCCCGUCCCAGCUCUGCCGGGCUUCUUCGCCACCUUCCGGAAAAAGUGUCAAGUACAAGUUCAAGUUCAGGGCCAGGCCCCGGGGGCGCCGAGCCUGCCGGGCCGCCUUUGUUCUCCGGUACAAUCGCUCCCUCAUCCCCUCCCGGGCGGGGCCGCAGACACCCCCGCCCCGCCCCCCGCGCCCCGCAGGAGCCGCCUCCUCCCGCCCGCGCGACGCCUGUCCCCAGGUCCCGACGACCUCGCUCAGGGCCACCGAAGGGUCUGGGGGCUUAGGGCGGGGGGAGGCGCGAGUCAAGCCCGUGGGAGCCUCCCCAGCCCCGCAGUCUCAGCCGCAAACUGCGCUCGGUCGGACGGACGCCCGCGCUGAGGAGUGAAGAGCAGCCCACUGAACCCCGCUAAACCUCCUUCUCUUACCCUCUCCCCCCGUUUGGUGUUGCUGAGGAUUGAAUCCAGGGCCUCUCUGCACAAGUGCGUCACUGCUGAGCUGUACAUCCCAGCCAAGAAGCAGUUUUGCAGGGAUGGAGGAAGCUGAGAGGAAGCUCUUCUUUGGGGAAUGGAAACCGGGAGGUCAUUUUGAAGAGAAAUCAGCAGCACCUCCUGACCCUGCUGACUGCACCUCCAGGACCUGAGUUCUCUUUGGUCCACAGAUCCACAGUGAAGUCCCCAGCUCCUGGAAAAGGGAUCCUGCUGAGUGCUGGGAAGUUGCCAGUGUGUGUGAAUGGCUGGGUUAGCGCAGGUUUUCCCAGCCACCUCACAGAAAGCACCUUUGGGGGGAGCCUUCGGUUCUGGGUCCGGACUGCCACCUCUCAGAGAAGCCACGUAGUUCUUGGAGCACUGUCGGCAGGCAGAGCCACACCAAAGCAAUGCAGGCGGCCAGGACACACAGCGACAUCAUGAACUUCCCCUCUUCCCCAAAACCACCACAGACCUGGCUUCCUUUUCAGUUCGCCAAAGUCUGGAAAAUUAACCCGAGAGUCUAGGCAAAGGAAACUAUUUUCAGCGGCCUUGCUCUUGGGCAGCCCCUCUUCCCUUCCGGUGUCCCGGAAGUUCCCAGGUGUCAGGCGUAGGCACUCACAGUGACUUUUUGAGGGUGCGCAGCAUUGACCUCUACUUUGGAGGGUGCCAUACGGGUAUCAAAGGAAGCGUGUCCAGAGAAGGAGUCCGGGGCUCCGGCGCAGCCGCUGACCUCUGCGGCUUGGCGGGCUCCACAGAACCGAGACUGCGGGACCGGCCCUGCGCAGAGGCGGGCGGGCGCUGUCCACCCGGAGGUGCUGAAAUACAAGUCGCCUGGCGGAGCCGCCAGCAGGAGCUGCCGGUCCCCACCACCUCGGCCAGCGAGACGGGCUUCUCCGUGGAAGGAAAGCAGUUCCAGACGUCGUCAUCGCCCCCAAACCUCAAUGACUGCCUAACUGGUCUCGCUGCUUUUUGUUCCUCAGCCUUUGCUCCACCCAGUACUACUUACUCGAAAUCCUUUUCUAGACAGCUCCUCUUGAGGAAGGAGAUGGAGGAUGAUUCCUGGAUUCAGCCCCAGGAUGCUUCAGCAGAGCAACAGGUCCCUCUGUGGGGCACCCCCUGCCUCUGAAAAGAGGUCUGGUUGAGGUCUUUGGGCAGGAGCAAGAGAUGGUACAUCCUUCCAUGCCCAGCACCCGCCAUGGUGAUCAGCACAGAGAAGCCCUGGGAAAUAUUAUGGUCAGGAACUACCAUGAAUGGCGAGAUGGCCUUGCUGUGUUUUGAACCUCCUCUCCUCAGGGAUGUAGCUACACACAGCUACGCUGACUGACACAUGAGGAUCUUGGCCCAGGCAACUCCUAAGCCCUCUCCUCCUGUGCCUGCCAGGUGUGGGCUGCUGGCAGCAUUUCUGUGUCAGCAGCCCAUUGGAGCUUGCCCGUGGGCACAAAACUCCAAGCUCUGAUGGAGACCCAUACCCUCUCAGCCUCCACCCCACCCCUUGGAGCCCCAUACACAUUGCCCAGAGGUGAGGAGACACCUAAAGCCUGCAGCUGCUGUGGUCCCUCUGAGAUCCGGAUUCCAGUCAUCUUCAAAGGGUUGGAAACAGGAGCAGCCAUGGACACCAACAGCAAAAGGCAGAUGCGUCCUUGCUCAUUGGGGUGCCCUUUCUGAAGGGGAAACUGAGACUGCAGUCCUCAAAUCCAUACCACUCAGGCCAUUGUGCCCUAGCAGUUGGUGGCUAGUGACACAGGGCAGUCCUCUCACAGGGAUGGAGAUCCAGAAAUGGGGCAGCCUCGAUGCCAUAGCAUCAAGACUCAGGGAGGUCACCAAAGAUCCAGGUCCUCCAUCUCCAGCCAUGUUGGCUUUAUCUUCAAGAACAUUACCCCUCAUGGGUCACAAAGUGACUGUCAGUAGUCAUCAGGGCCAUACAGGUGUUCAUGCCAGAGAGUGAAGAUGACAGAAAACACUAAAGGACCAUGGCCCUAUAAUCAUCACCAGUGCAGCGCCAUCUGCUGACCGGCUCAGACCAACCAUUCUUUUUUGUUUGUUUUUGAGACAGGGUCUUGCGAUGUUGUCCAGGCUGGCCUCAAACUGGUGGUGAUCCUCCUGCCUCAGCCUCCCAAGUGCUGGGAUUACAGAAGUGCACAACCACGCCUGGCUCAGACCAGCCAUUCUUAAUCCCAAAGUGGCAAUGCCUCUUUCCAUAACAAAUACACUAUCCUAAAGGAAGGAGUAGACAAUAGAUCCCACUCACACGUAUCAUUGCAAAAAUGUCAGUACAAUGCCCUAACUGCAAAGGAAAAACAAAGCCAGGGAAUGAUGGUUUGUGCCUGUGGUCUCAGCUCUUCAAGAAGCUGAGGCAGGAGGAUCGCUGGAGCCUAGGGGGUUUGAGGCCAUCCUGGAUAGCAGAACAAGAGCCUGUUUUUAAAAUAAAAUAAAUGGAAAAACAAAAAGGAAAUGUAUACUAUAAUAAAAUAACAUCUAUUUCAAGAUAUGUGCUCAAGCCCGAGUGUUCUAGAAGGCAUCAUGAAACAGCUAGCUGCUUUCAUCUGCAUCCAGAAUUUCUAGGAAUGUGGCAGCAACAGCCACAGACAGAUAUCAGUGGACUGCUGGGCGAUGAAAUGCCAUCACUGUGGUGAUGUGGUCGUGUUGAAAUGGCAGCUCUAGUGAAGACACCACACGGGAGAAACCAGAAGCACUGUCGUGCUAUAGCAGCCCUUGUGACAUUGGAAGGUUAGGUGUGUGUGAAUGUCGGGAAUUCUAGCUCCCACCCUCCCAUCCAGUGUCCACAGCACCCCAUGGUUAAGAUGACUGAAAAAUCUCCCACAUGGAUGUAAACGCCCCCAGGAAGCCACCGCUUCUCUCAAAAGCUGUGGGUUGGGUGCAGCUAGAGUCCUCUGUUGGGCUUGGGGUGGGGGUGGGGUGGGGGCCUGAACAACUGGAAUUCCCUGGGGGGGGCAGGAGGGGUGGAGAAAGGGAGGUCGUCAACAGCGCUACCCACUGGUCCUCACAGGUGGCUGCCCCACUCACAGGUGCCCGCCCUGCUCCUCUCUGGGACUGCCGCUUGCACCGGGUCUCAGGAGGUUUUCUCAGUGUCGUGUGUGAGCGUGUGUGAUGUGUGAGUGUGGGCGUGCUCACGGCUCCACUGGGCUGAUAGGCAAAGACUUCUUGUGUCUUAGCCUAAAAGAAAGAGGAAGCAGAAGCCAGAUGUGGUGGCACAGGCCUGCAAUCCCAGCACUAUGGGAGGCUGAGGCAGGAGAAUUUUAAGUUUGAGCCCAGUGUGGGCAAUUUGGAGACUUAGGCAGACCUUGUCUGAAAUUAAAAAAUAUAUAAAUAUUUAAAAGGGCUGGGGAUAUAGCUCUGUGUGAAGGUUCAGAUUUAAUCCCCAGUACCACAGGAAGGAAAGAAGGAAAGGAGGGAGGGAAGAAGAAAGAAAGUGAGGGAGAGAGGAAGAAAGAGGGAGAUAGAUAGAUACAUAGAUAGACAGAUGCUGAUGGCACAUGCCUGUAAUCCCAGCAGCACUUGGGAGGCUAAAGCAGGAGGAUCACUGUGAGUUUAAGGCCAGCCUGAACUACACAGCAAGACCCUGUCUCAAAAAAAAAAAGAAAAGAAAAGAGAACAUGUUCCCUCUAACUCUUCCAGGAUAUCAACCUUCAGGCCUGUCCACCUCUUUCAGUCCCAGAAAACUCCCGCUGUUCCUCCUGUUGGGCUACUCGUUUUUUCAUUAUUAAUGUGUAGGACAUCUUUAUAUGUCAUAGACAACCUUCUCUUAUUUAUGUUGUAGACUUUCUUCCAUCUAUCACAUGUCUUUUAACUUUUAACUCUCUAUAAGGUAUUUUUGGCUUUGUGUAAGCUUUUGGGGGGAGGGGGUAUGGGGAUUGAACCCAAGGCCUUCUCACGAGGUCCAUCCCCAGCCCUAUUUAUUUAUUUAUUUCUGAGACCAAGCCUCUCUAAGUCACAAGUUUCCCAGGCUGGCCUUGAUUUUGCAAUUCUCCUGCCUCACAGGGUUCAUGUCAUCAGUCUGGAAAUCUGCAUUCCUUUGUGUACAGCAGGAUGGUGGCCUGGUGGUGCCUGAUGGAGGACUGAUGUGCAGAGGCCCUGGGCCAGGAGGGAGCUGAGAAGGUCUAAGACCUCCCUUCUUUUCGUUCAGUUCUCAGGAGCCCCUGCCAGAUGCAGGACCAGGGUCAAGAGCCCAUAUCCCACUUGUGACCCUUCUGGAGACAUGGAUGGCUGAUACAUCCGUCUGUGGAGGCCCGAGGGGUCCUGGCAGUCCCCUGCUCGGCUCCGGAGUGGGUGUGCAGGUUAUCAAUGGGGCCAAGUGGAGGCCAACAUGUCUGGCAGGGGUGGAGGUGGUGCGCGGCAGCCUUGCAGCUGACUGGCUGCGUGGCCUCAGGGCAGCCCCUGCAGUUCUCUGGGCUCAGCGGAGUGGGAGGCUGCCCACUGGUUCUCCACACCCCUUCCACUCAACCUGCAGUUUGUGCCCAUCUGCCCCCCAUGCCUCACUUGCAGCCAGUGUGGCUUACAAGUCAGGGAGUGACGGGCCAGCCGGGUGGGCACCAGCUCCAUUCUGCAGUCCUCCCGUCAGAAGUUUGCUGUGCUCGUUUGCAUCUCGCAGUUUUCUCUCAAAAUCUGGAGCCCUUAUUUUUGGUUUUUCAGGGCCUUUAUACUUUUGGAGCCCCACAAAAGCUCAUGAGCUGAGCCCUGCCUGGUCCUGUUGCUGGAGACCCCAGAGCGCCUCCAUCUGUCCCUGGGACCAACGGUCCAGUGUGAAGUCCCAGCCUGUCUCGACAUGACACGGCCAAGUGAUCUUCAUUUUAAUUAUACAGAUUUUACCAUUUUUGAUUUAAUGAUUUUUCCCCCAGAAAGGUGAUUCACUCAUUCCUAUGGAUCAAAAUUCAAAACGAACAAAAUAUACCAAAAUGUACCCAGGUGGAAGUUUCUCCCCGCCAGCAGCUGGUACUUAGCUUUGAGACAUCCUAAUGUCUUUUUUUCUGAACACUGGAAAUUCAUGAGCCACUUCCCCGACCUUUUCCAUUUUAUUUUUAAUUAGUGAAUUAAUGUAUGUAUUUUGGUCCCAGGGAUCGAACUUGGGACCUUGCGCUUGGCCCAGUGCCACUGAGCUAAAUCCCUGACCCAGUUUUUAAUUUUUUUUAAUUAAAAAAAAUUUUUUUUGCGAAACCUUAAAUCGUUAAAUUACCCAGGUUGGGUUCAAAAUUUUGCUCCUCCUGCCUCAGCCUCCCAGGGUGCUGGGAUUACAGGAGUGUGCCACCACGCCUGACUCUAAUGUCCCUCAUUUUCGUGUCUUCCAGAUACAUUCUUUGACUAUUCAUGAGUGUACGUACAUGUUCGCUCUUUGGGGGCCUCCUCCUCUUCCUCCUGCUCCUGCUCCUCUUCUUCCUCUUCCUCCUCCUCCUCCUCUUCCCUUUCGUCUUCACAAUGACAGUACACAAUACUUCUUUGCACUCACAUCCUGCCAGACUUUGGGGUGGCUCCUGGUUCCCCGCACAGGAAAGCUCAAAGUCUGUGGUCGGGAGCCCAAUGGCCCUGCGACGCGUCUCCUUCCGAUCUCUCUGAGUCCCGCUCUCCUCCAGGCUGUGAUACCCUUGCCUCGCGGUGCCCGGGACAGAGGUGGCACUCAUAGGUACCGAACGCGCGGGCCGGGCACCGAGCCUGGUACUUUGAAGGCGCUGGGCCGUGAGCUUCGACGAGCGGCUUCGGAGGGGCCCGGAGGCGAAGACGGCUUUGCCACAGCGACAUCUCGUGGUCGACCUCGGGAGUGCAUCAGGGAUGGGACCUUGGGACGAGGGGCGGGUUUGGGACUCCUAGAAUCAGAGCCGCAGUACCCACGUCCUCCGCUCCCUCCGGCCCAUCCACUGCAGACCCCACCUUGCCCGCCAGUGUCCCAACCCGUGCCAAGCUGUGACUGCCUUUCCAGACGCGCUCGUCUCGGAUGGGGGCUUCGGGGCUCGGCCAGGGGGUGUGCACGUGCGCGCGUCUCAAGGCGGACCUGGUCUACACCUGGAGCGUGACUGUUAACACUACUUCUCUAUAGGACCAAAUUGCAGACGUAAUAAUCAUGAAAUGAACAGUAACUAAUACAUGGCAAGCAACCAUAAGUUCCCCUUAUGGAAUUUUGUACACAAGCUCAUACCAUUUCAAAAAUUAAUAGAAUAAGAAAUCAUUAUAAUAUAAAAGGAAUAAAUGGACAAGUACGUUUAAAUUACAUCAUUUUAAAUGAGAGGGGGCAUGUACUUACACACUGGUCUGUCCCUGUACUGAAUAACACUAUAUUAGAAUAUAAUAAAAAUUUAAAACGGGCAAUUUGAAAAGAAGAAGAAACUUCAAUUUUGAACACAUUGUUAAAAUUCAGUAAAAUAUCUUCUGUUUGAUCUAAAAUUGGCACUUUCCAAACAAAACUAUCACAGCCUCACAGGACACUCUUCUUUUUCACAUACGGACUACCACUGACUUACACCUCUAUCCGUUGUUGUUUGGCACUGUACUGGGGAUUCAACCCGGAGCCUUUGCACUCAGCUAUAUCCCCAUCUCUAUUUCAUUAUGAUGAUGAUGAUGAUGAUGAUGAUGAUGAUGAUGAUGAUGAUGAUUACUAUUUGGUACCAGGGAUCUAACUCGGGUCCUUGUGCUUGCGCAGCAGGCGUCGAAACCACUGAGCUGAAUCCCCAGCCAUAUUUUUUUAUUAUUGAGACAAGGUCUUGCUAAGUCACCAAGUUGCCCAGGCUGGUGAUCCUCCUGUCUCUGCCUCCCAGAGUGCAGGAAUUACAGACAUGGACCACCACAGACAGUUGUCCUUGUUUUAUUUUUCUUUUAGUGUGGUGGUGAGGAUUGAACCCAGAGCCUCAAGCUUGCUAAGCAUGGAUUCUACCCCUGUUUUAAAUUUAACAGUGAGAUGAAGUAAUUUAAGUUCUAUUUCUUCAACUUCCCUGUCACUGAGCUAUGCCUUGGAGACACAAACUGAAUUGAACUGACUUGGUAAAUUCCAACCAUGAAACCUACACAAAGUACAGUGAUGGAGACAGGAUUUCUUGGAAUUAACUUCUGUAUAGAAUAGGGUUAAUUAAUUGGUUUUUUUGUUGGGUUUUUUUUUGGUACUGGGGAUCGAACUCAGGACCUUGCACUUUUGAGGCAGGCUAAAUCCCGGACCUAGAAUAGGGUUAACUAAAGGAUGAGUAAUAAGAUAUCCAUACUUGAAGCUAUAUAUUUAUUAUUAAAAAUCAACAGGUUAGGAUACAAAAGCGUGUGUAUUAUAUACGUGAAUAUCUCACUUCAAUGAGAUACCAGAACAGGCCAAGUCACAGAGCCAGAGAGCAGAGAGGGCUGGGACGUUGCUCACCCGGAAUGUAGAUGAAGGCCUGGGUUCAAUCCCCAGCACCACGUAAGAAAGGAAAACAAAAAAACAAAAUAAAUAGAAAGAAGAAAGAGUAGACUACAGGUUACCAGAGACUAGGGGAAGGAGAAUAGAGAGUUAUUAUUUAAUAGGUUCAGAGUUUCUGUCUGGGAUGAUGAAAGUUCUGUUAAUCAGGAGUGGUGACAAUAUACUACAUUGUGAACGGAUGCAAUACCACUGAAUUAUACAGUUAAAGUAGGGGCAGGACAUGUAGCUCAGUGGUAAAUUGCAUAUUUAGCAUUGGUGAGCAUAUAGGCAAAGUUAAAAUAUCACGAUAACAAAAUGGUGAAAAUGGUGACGUUUAUGUUAUAUAUACUUUACCGCAACAAACUACUCUGAACAACCAUCAAUUAGGUCAGAAAUAAAAAAAUAAUCUGGGGAGAAGGGAGGAAUAUCUUUUCACUGACACAGAAAUUGCCUGGGCAAAAUGAUAAUAAAAGCAAACCGGAAGUGAGUUUUAUUAUUGUUUUAAAUUCUCUACAG
rnacentral:lncRNA from 1 species